rnacentral:rRNA from 1 species
UACGGAGGGAGCUAGCGUUGUUCGGAAUUACUGGGCGUAAAGCGCACGUAGGCGGCUUUUUAAGUCGGAGGUGAAAUCCUGGAGCUCAACUCCAGAACUGCCUUCGAUACUGAAGAGCUCGAGUCCGGGAGAGGUGAGUGGAACUGCGAGUGUAGAGGUGAAAUUCGUAGAUAUUCGCAAGAACACCAGUGGCGAAGGCGGCUCACUGGCCCGGUACUGACGCUAAGGUGCGAAAGCGUGGGGAGCAAACAGG